rnacentral:rRNA from 1 species
UACAGAGGGGGCGAGCGUUGUUCGGAAUUACUGGGCGUAAAGCGUGCGCAGGCGGUUUGCUAAGACAGGUGUGAAAUCCCCGGGCUUAACCUGGGAACUGCGCUUGUAACUGGCAAGCUGGAGUGUGGCAGAGGGGGGUGGAAUUCCACGUGUAGCAGUGAAAUGCGUAGAGAUGUGGAGGAACACCGAUGGCGAAGGCAGCCCCCUGGGCUAACACUGACGCUCAUGCACGAAAGCGUGGGGAGCAAACAGG